rnacentral:rRNA from 1 species
GACGAACGCUGGCGGCGUGCUUAACACAUGUGAGUCGAACGGAAAGGCCCUGCUUUUGUGGGGUGCUCGAGUGGCGAACGGGUGAGUAACACGUGAGUAACCUGCCCUUGACUUUGGGAUAACUUCAGGAAACUGGGGCUAAUACCGGAUAGGAGCUCCUGCUGCAUGGUGGGGGUUGGAAAGUCUCGGCGGUUGGGGAUGGACUCGCGGCUUAUCAGCUUGUUGGUGGGGUAGUGGCUUACCAAGGCUUUGACGGGUAGCCGGCCUGAGAGGGUGACCGGCCACAUUGGGACUGAGAUACGGCCCAGACUCCUACGGGAGGCAGCAGUGGGGAAUAUUGCACAAUGGGCGGAAGCCUGAUGCAGCAACGCCGCGUGCGGGAUGACGGCCUUCGGGUUGUAAACCGCUUUCGCCUGUGACGAAGCGUGAGUGACGGUAAUGGGUAAAGAAGCACCGGCUAACUACGUG